GACGAACGCUGGCGGCGUGCCUAAUACAUGCAAGUAGAACGCACAGUUUAUACCGUAGCUUGCUCCACCAUAGACUGUGAGGUGCGAACGGGUGAGUAACGCGUAGGUAACCUACCUGGUAGCGGGGGAUAACUAUUGGAAACGAUAGCUAAUACCGCAUAAUAUUGAUUAUUGCAUGAUAAUUGAUUGAAAGAUGCUAUUGCAUCACUACCAGAUGGACCUGCGUUGUAUUAGCUAGUAGGUGAGGUAACGGCUCACCUAGGCGACGAUACAUAGCCGACCUGAGAGGGUGAUCGGCCACACUGGGACUGAGACACGGCCCAGACUCCUACGGGAGGCAGCAGUAGGGAAUCUUCGGCAAUGGACGAAAGUCUGACCGAGCAACGCCGCGUGAGUGAAGAAGGUUUUCGGAUCGUAAAGCUCUGUUGUAAGAGAAGAACGGGUGUGAGAGUGGAAAGUUCACACUGUGACGGUAUCUUACCAGAAAGGGACGGCUAACUACGUG
rnacentral:rRNA from 1 species